UACGUAGGGGGCAAGCGUUGUCCGGAUUUAUUGGGCGUAAAGAGCUCGUAGGCGGUUUGUCGCGUCGGGAGUGAAAACACGGGGCUUAACCCCGAGCCUGCAGUGGAUACGGGCAGACUAGAGGUAGGUAGGGGAGAAUGGAAUUCCCGGUGUAGCGGUGAAAUGCGCAGAUAUCGGGAGGAACACCGGUGGCGAAGGCGGUUCUCUGGGCCUUACCUGACGCUGAGGAGCGAAAGCGUGGGGAGCGAACAGG
rnacentral:rRNA from 1 species